UACAGAGGUCUCAAGCGUUGUUCGGAUUCAUUGGGCGUAAAGGGUGCGUAGGCGGCGCGGUAAGUCGGGUGUGAAAUCUUGGAGCUUAACUCCGAAACUGCAUUCGAUACUGCCGUGCUUGAGGACUGGAGAGGAGACUGGAAUUUACGGUGUAGCGGUGAAAUGCGUAGAUAUCGUAAGGAAGACCAGUGGCGAAGGCGGGUCUCUGGACAGUUCCUGACGUGAGGCACGAAGGCCAGGGGGAGCAAACGGGG
rnacentral:rRNA from 1 species